rnacentral:rRNA from 1 species
AUUGAACGCUGGCGGCAGGCCUAACACAUGCAAGUCGAACGAGUGGCGGACGGGUGAGUAAUGUCUGGGAAACUGCCUGAUGGAGGGGGAUAACUACUGGAAACGGUAGCUAAUACCGCAUACCAUCAGAUGUGCCCAGCUGGGAUUAGCUAGUUGGUGGGGUAACGGCUCACCAAGGCGACGAUCCCUAGCUGGUCUGAGAGGAUGACCAGCCACACUGGAGAGGAGACACGGUCCAGACUCCUACGAGAGGCAGCAGUGGGGAAUAUUGCACAAUGGGCGCAAGCCUGAUACAGCCAUGGCGCGUGUAUGAAGAGGGCCUUCGGGUUGUAAAGUACUUACAGCGGGGAGGCGGUACCCGCAGUCGAAGCAGCGGCUAACUCCGUGCCAGCAGCCGCGGUAAUAC